AGAGGUGGCCGAGACUCACAAUUACCUCU
rnacentral:piRNA from 1 species